GAUUUCUGGCUUGGUGUGUCUGGCCCGCCGAGAUUACUCGCGUGAGUGCUGGUUCAUGCCUGCCAUUCUUCUAGGGAACACGACUGCCCUUCACUGGGUGCGUUGUGCAAUCUAGAUCUUUUACUUUGAAAAAAUUAGAGUGUUUAAAGCAGGCAUUUUGCUAUGAAUACAUUAGCAUGGAAUAAUAAUUUAGGACUUCGCGCCUAUUUUGUUGGCUUUCGGGACGAAGUAAUGAUUGAUAGGGAUAGUUGGGGGUGCUAGUAUUCAGCGGCCAGAGGUGAAAUUCUUGGAUUCGCUGAAGACUAACUUAUGCGAAAGCAUU
rnacentral:rRNA from 1 species